rnacentral:lncRNA from 1 species
AGCAGUAGUUAGAAACACACAGCUCGGGCUGUAUGCAGCAUGCUUGCACGCAUGAGAACGCUCAGAUUCUGUUUUUUGCUCACAGCGUCUCACCAACUCAUUUAUUUUGUAUACUUUAGAUGCAGAUGGAUGCAGAAUUUGAAAAGGAGCAGAUUGGUACCCUUUUUGUCCCAAGGGGGUUAGCGUUUGGGGGGUCUAGGGGGUGGGUGGUCCCUCACGGCCUCCCGCUGAGUUUUUCGACAUGUGUG